GAAGAUCGCGAUACUCUUCAAUUUUUACUAGAAAUGCCGAGAUAAGCUUUCACCCCAAUGGCGGGCCUCAACCGCAAGGUGUUCAGCAAUGAACCGGAGGAUUACAAAGGUGUGAAGCCCUCAAAUCCUUACUAUUUCGGAGUUUCAUCACAUCCCUUUGAUGUGGCAUUC
rnacentral:sRNA from 1 species